rnacentral:rRNA from 1 species
UACAGAGGGAGCAAGCGUUAUCCGGAAUGAUUGGGCGUAAAGCGUCUGUAGGUGGUUUAGAAAGUCCACUGUCAAAUACCAAGGCUCAACCUUGGGCAGGCAGUGGAGUACUUUUAGACUAGAGUGUGGUAGAGGUAGAGGGAAUCCCUAGCGUAACAGUGAAAUGUGUAGAUUUUAGGGAGAACACCAGCGGCGAAGGCGCUCUACUGGGCCAAGACUGACACUGAGAGACGAAAGCUAGGGGAGCGAACAGG